UUCGGCGGCCAUAGCGUGAGGGAAACGCCCGGUUACAUUCCGAACCCGGAAGCUAAGCCUCA
rnacentral:rRNA from 1 species